rnacentral:lncRNA from 1 species
GUCCUGUAUGAGUACUAUCUGGUCUAACAGGUGUAGAGCUGUGUGUCCUGUAUGAGUACUAUCUGGUCUAACAGGUGUAGAGCUGUGUGUCCUGUAUGAGUACUAUCUGGUCUAACAGUUGUAGAGCUGUGUGUUUCCUGUAUGAGUACUAUCUGGUCUAACAGGUGUAGAGCUGUGUGUUUCCUGUAUGAGUACUAUCUGGUCUAACAGGUGUAGAGCUGUGUCUCUCCUGUAUGAGUACUAUCUGGUCUAACAGGUGUAGAGCUGUGUGUCUCCUGUAUGAGUACUAUCUGGUCUAACAGGUGUAGAGCUGUG